AAGGGCACCACAAGAACGCGUGGAGCAUGUGGCUUAAUUUGACUCAACGCGGGAAAUCUUACCAGGUCCGGACACACUGAGGAUUGACAGGCGUUUGUGGUUGCUUAGAGUAUCUUUCAGCUCGCUGGUUGGUGCUCUUGCUUCCACUAUAAAUAUGCUAGUCCUUUCAUGAUUGUGUGAUAGGUGGUGCAUGGCCGUUCUUAGUUCGUGGAGUGAUCUGUCUGCUUAAUUGCGUUUCACAAAGGACUUUCUAACUUUUGCCUGUUGCGCGGCAUUCGUGCUUUGUCAUGGUGUCUGUGCACGGCAGAGAAAAAGUUCUGAAGGCAACGAACGUGACCGCAACCUCUUGUUGCCUCCUUCUUUUAACAAAGACAUGAGAGCUGUUUUACUUCUCUUCUUUAUUGCAAGAGUUGUAUCAGUUUCUCUGCAUGGAGUGCUAACUAGAGGGACCGCUGACAACUUUUAAGACAGAGGAAGGUUGCGGCAAUAACAGGUCUGUGAUGCCCUUAGAUGUUCCGGGCUGCACACGUGCUACAAUGAUUAUUGCAGUGAGCAUCUAAUUACAAAAAGCGCGAGUUUGUGUUGGUAUUCUUUGGUUAUCUUUCGGGAUGGCUUUGUUUACUUACAUGGCUUGGCUACUAACCUGCUUCGAAAGUAAGCAGGUAAUCAAUUCGAAGUAAUGAUUUCCUUUUCGCACAUACUUAUAUCUCUUGCUUGCUGGCUACCUGCACCUUGUGUGUACUGGUUUGUCUCAGCCUUGAGAUAUGUGCUCCAUUAAUUCGUGGUGGGGACAGACCAUUGUUAAUUGUUGGUCUCGGUCUCAACUAGGAAUGCCUUGUACGGGUCUUUGGUUCAACAAACCACCCGGAAUAUGUCCCUGCCCUUUGUACACACCGCCCGUCGCUCUUACCGAUGGACUUCUCUAUGAGUUUGGAGGACUGGCUUGUGCUUGCUUGCAAGACAGCUAUGGAAAUCUAA
rnacentral:rRNA from 1 species